GACGAACGCUGGCGGCGUGCUUAAUACAUGCAAGUCGAACGGGGUCCAUUCGGUGGUAACACCGAUGAAGACCUAGUGGCGAACGGGUGCGUAACACGUGAGCAACCUGCCCCGAAGACCGGGAUAACAGCGGGAAACUGCUGCUAAUACCGGAUGUCCCCACGAAUUCGCAUGGAAUUGUGAGGAAAUGGAUUCCGCUUCGGGAGGGGCUCGCGGCCUAUCAGCUUGUUGGUGAGGUAACGGCCCACCAAGGCGACGACGGGUAGCUGGUCUGAGA
rnacentral:rRNA from 1 species